AUGAACGCUAGCUACAGGCUUAACACAUGCAAGUCGAGGGGCAGCAUUUUAGUUUGCUUGCAAACUGAAGAUGGCGACCGGCGCACGGGUGAGUAACACGUAUCCAACCUGCCGAUAACUCCGGAAUAGCCUUUCGAAAGAAAGAUUAAUACCGGAUAGCAUACGAAUAUCGCAUGAUAUUUUUAUUAAAGAAUUUCGGUUAUCGAUGGGGAUGCGUUCCAUUAGUUUGUUGGCGGGGUAACGGCCCACCAAGACUACGAUGGAUAGGGGUUCUGAGAGGAAGGUCCCCCACAUUGGAACUGAGACACGGUCCAAACUCCUACGGGAGGCAGCAGUGAGGAAUAUUGGUCAAUGGGCGAGAGCCUGAACCAGCCAAGUAGCGUGAAGGAUGAAGGCUCUAUGGGUCGUAAACUUCUUUUAUAUGGGAAUAAAGUUUUCCACGUGUGGAAUUUUGUAUGUACCAUAUGAAUAAGGAUCGGCUAACUCCGUGCCAGCAGCCGCGGUAAUACGGAGGAUCCGAGCGUUAUCCGGAUUUAUUGGGUUUAAAGGGAGCGUAGGUGGAUUGUUAAGUCAGUUGUGAAAGUUUGCGGCUCAACCGUAAAAUUGCAGUUGAAACUGGCAGUCUUGAGUACAGUAGAGGUGGGCGGAAUUCGUGGUGUAGCGGUGAAAUGCUUAGAUAUCACGAAGAACUCCGAUUGCGAAGGCAGCUCACUAGACUGUUACUGACACUGAUGCUCGAAAGUGUGGGUAUCAAACAGGAUUAGAUACCCUGGUAGUCCACACAGUAAACGAUGAAUACUCGCUGUUUGCGAUAUACAGUAAGCGGCCAAGCGAAAGCAUUAAGUAUUCCACCUGGGGAGUACGCCGGCAACGGUGAAACUCAAAGGAAUUGACGGGGACCCGCACAAGCGGUGGAGCAUGUGGUUUAAUUCGAAGCAACGCGAAGAACCUUACCAAGUCUUGACAUCCCUCUGAUCGAUCCGUAACGGGAUCUUUCCUUCGGGACAGGGGAGACAGGUGGUGCAUGGUUGUCGUCAGCUCGUGUCGUGAGAUGUUGGGUUAAGUCCCGCAACGAGCGCAACCCUUAUCUUUAGUUACUAACAGGUCAUGCUGAGGACUCUAGAGAGACUGCCGUCGUAAGAUGUGAGGAAGGUGGGGAUGACGUCAAAUCAGCACGGCCCUUACGUCCGGGGCUACACACGUGUUACAAUGGGGGGUACAGAAGGCAGCUACACGGCGACGUGAUGCUAAUCCCAAGAACCUCUCUCAGUUCGGAUCGAAGUCUGCAACCCGACUUCGUGAAGCUGGAUUCGCUAGUAAUCGCGCAUCAGCCAUGGCGCGGUGAAUACGUUCCCGGGCCUUGUACACACCGCCCGUCAAGCCAUGAAAGCCGGGGGUACCUGAAGUACGUAACCGCAAGGAGCGUCCUAGGGUAAAACUGGUAAUUGGGGCU
rnacentral:rRNA from 1 species